CCUACGGGUGGCAGCAGUGAGGAAUAUUGGUCAAUGGACGAGAGUCUGAACCAGCCAAGUAGCGUGAAGGAUGACUGCCCUAUGGGUUGUAAACUUCUUUUAUAAAGGAAUAAAACGAUGCACGUGUGCCUUUUUGCAUGUACUUUAUGAAUAAGGAUCGGCUAACUCCGUGCCAGCAGCCUCGGUAAGACGGAGGAUGCGAGCUUUAUCCGGAUUCAUUGGGUUUAACGGGUGCGCAGGCGGGCCUUUAAGCCGGCGGUGAAAUCGCGGGGCUCAACCCCGCAUAGCCGUCGGAACUGGGGGCCUUGAGUGCGGCGGAGGAAGGCGGAAUGCGUGGGGUAGCGGUGAAAUGCAUAGAUAUCGCGCAGAACCCCGAUUGCGAAGGCAGUGUGCCGUGCUGCCACUGACGCUGAGGCACGAAAGCGUGGGGAUCGAACAGGAUUAGAUACCCGGGUAGUC
rnacentral:rRNA from 1 species